rnacentral:sRNA from 1 species
GGGAAUCGAGAUUCACUCCAAACCCCUGUGUACAUACCUAUACGUUGCCUCGGCGGAUCAGCCCGCGCCCCGUAAAAAGGGACGGCCCGCCCGAGGACCCCUAAACUCUGUUUUUAGUGGAACUUCUGAGUAAAACAAACAAAUAAAUCAAAACUUUCAACAACGGAUCUCUUGGUUCUGGCAUCGAUGAAGAACGCAGCAAAAUGCGAUAAGUAAUGUGAAUUGCAGAAUUCAGUGAAUCAUCGAAUCUUUGAACGCACAUUGCGCCCGCCAGUAUUCUGGCGGGCAUGCCUGUUCGAGCGUCAUUUCAACCCUCAAGCUCAGCUUGGUGUUGGGACUCGCGGUAACCCGCGUUCCCCAAAUCGAUUGGCGGUCACGUCGAGCUUCCAUAGCGUAGUAAUCAUACACCUCGUUACUGGUAAUCGUCGCGGCCACGCCGUAAAACCCCAACUUCUGAAUGUUGACCUCGGAUCAGGUAGGAAUACCCGCUGAACUUAAGCAUAUCAUAGNNCGGGAGGAAA